rnacentral:rRNA from 1 species
GAUCAUGGCUCAGGAUGAACGCUAGCUACAGGCUUAACACAUGCAAGUCGAGGGGAAACGACAUCGAAAGCUUGCUUCCGAUGGGCGUCGACCGGCGCACGGGUGAGUAACGCGUAUCCAACCUGCCCACCCACUUGGGGAUAACCUUGCGAAAGUAAGACUAAUACCCAAUGAUAUCUCUAGAAGACAUCUGAAAGAGAUUAAAGAUUUAUCGGUGAUGGAUGGGGAUGCGU